GGUUGCGAUCAUACCAGCACUAAUGCACCGGAUCCCAUCAGAACUCCGCAGUUAAGCGUGCUUGGGCGAGAGUAGUACUAGGAUGGGUGACCCCCUGGGAAGUCCUCGUGUUGCAUCCCC
rnacentral:rRNA from 1 species